rnacentral:lncRNA from 1 species
AACAAUGGCAAGUAUUUCAGGAUUUAUUGGGUAGAACACAAAUCUAGGGUGCUCGCAUAAUGCAGCUUAACUGCAUAAAAAUAUGUAUAAAUGUUAGCAUCAUUUAUUUUCUCAAAACUAUAAAUUAUAUUUUUUGAGAGUGAGAAAAUAAUCCUUACAAAUUAUCAAAGAAAUAGUUUUGCCCUCAAAUAUUUUUUUUUGUAGAAAUGAAAUACACAAUGCAUUUUUUUCUGUUUUGUUUUUUUGUUGUGAAAAAAAAUUUGCUUGAGAUCAUUGGACACAGUGCAAUUCAUUGUAUAUAUGUAAAGAUAGCAAUAACUAUGAUUUUAAUUUAAGUAAUUAUUGUAUUAUAUAUUAAUUGAUUGUGUUUGAUAUACAUUUAUAUAUGUUUUGAGGAAUUGCCUUUACAUACUUUUAUCCAAUAAAAGUUGUAAAUAGAACUCAAAUUUAUUAUUUUAAUUAACUGCAUUAGUUGAUAUUUUCUCUAUAAAUAAGUAAACUUGUUUAAGACUUAUAUAGAGAAGCACAGAUAUCAAUGAGAACAGGCUGAAGAAGAUGUAAUGAAAUUAUUAAUAGAUAAGGACAAAGCACAUAUGGCUUGUAUAUGUUAUACUUCAAGGGGGUGGGGAUAGGUAGGUUUUGACCUAUCAAUUGUUCUACAAGUCAGUAUUUUCAUUUCGAGAUUCCAACUCAAAUACUUAAGAUUGGGUUACAACUUUAUUU